rnacentral:sRNA from 1 species
GAAAGAAAGAAAAAAAAUGUGGUCUGCCAGGGGUCUCCAGGGUAGACUCAGUUGAUGUGGCUGGCUGGGCAGGUGCCCCCUUCUUCCCUCAGGGCUCCAUGAAUGUCCCCACUGCCCACUCAGUGGAAGAGAACAACAGUCCCCUAAGGACUGCCCUCCCUUUGUGGGUCUCUGUGCAGCUGCACUCUGCUACUAGAACCUCCAAACUGAAACCAAACUAGAACCUCAGCCUGUGGGCUGCGACCCCUUCAGAGGUCGCACAUCAGUUUUCCUGCAUGCCAGAUGUUUGCAUUAUAAUUAAUAACAGUGGCAAAAUUAC